rnacentral:rRNA from 1 species
UACAGAGGUCUCAAGCGUUGUUCGGAUUCAUUGGGCGUAAAGGGCGCGUAGGCGGUUCGAUAAGUCCCGUGUGAAAUCCCUCGGCUCAACUGAGGAACUGCACGGGAAACUGACGGGCUUGAGUUCGGGAGAGGGAAGCGGAAUUCCGGGUGUAGCGGUGAAAUGCGUAGAUAUCCGGAGGAACACCGGUGGCGAAGGCGGCUUCCUGGACCGACACUGACGCUGAGGCGCGAAAGCUAGGGAGCAAACGGG